UGGGGAAUAUUGCACAAUGGGCGCAAGCCUGAUGCAGCCAUGCCGCGUGUAUGAAGAAGGCCUUCGGGUUGUAAAGUACUUUCAGCGGGGAGGAAGGUGUUGUGGUUAAUAACCACAGCAAUUGACGUUACCCGCAGAAGAAGCACCGGCUAACUCCGUGCCAGCAGCCGCGGUAAUACGGAGGGUGCAAGCGUUAAUCGGAAUUACUGGGCGUAAAGCGCACGCAGGCGGUCUGUCAAGUCGGAUGUGAAAUCCCCGGGCUCAACCUGGGAACUGCAUCCGAAACUGGCAGGCUUGAGUCUUGUAGAGGGGGGUAGAAUUCCAGGUGUAGCGGUGAAAUGCGUAGAGAUCUGGAAGAAUACCGGUGGCGAAGGCGGCCCCCUGGACAAAGACUGACGCUCAGGUGCGAAAGCGUGGGGAGCAAACA
rnacentral:rRNA from 1 species